AUACCUACCUGGCACAGGUUUUACAUGCGAUCCGCAAGGCUGUGGGCCCGCGAGACUCCUUUCCCAUUGCACAUCGGUUUGGUUGAUUCUCUGCGAUCGUCCGCGUAAAAUGUGGACGACUCGGGUGCGCACUUAUGCGUGGGGAUCAUGCCUUCGUCAGCCUCCCU